AUGCAACUAGUCGUCUGCGUCUUUCUACUUCUCUUCUCAUUUGUCAAUUUUCUCCGAACGGAGCAAUCAGAAAGAAUGCAUGACGAUUGUCUGAAAGCAAUUUGUCCAUUGGUUUUUCACAAAGGAUGUCCAUCAGACUCUCAGCUGAUCACUGUAUCGCCAGCGCCGGGAAACUGUUGUCCACCACCGGGCUCUUGCCACUGUGAUCAGAAGAAAUGCGUUCCAUCCGUGCCAACUUGUACAAAAGAAGAGCGACUUGUGAUGGUUGAAAAAGGUUCAGAUAUACCUGGAAAAUGUUGUGCAUACUAUGAAUGCCAUAAGAAAGAGAAAAAGUGCGAAAAUGUGCACUGUCCUCCUAUGUUCCAAGAUGAAGAAGAAUGUCCACCUGAUAGUAUCCGUCCACCAGAGAGUAUUUCAAAAGAAUCAUGUUGCCCAAUAAGACAAUCCUGCAAAUGCCGUGGCUCAAUCUGUCGUCCUGCUCAAUGUCCAGAUGGAAAAGUUGUGAAUGUCACGAAGAAAGGAACUGGAUUUCCAGGAAGAUGCUGUGAUAAAUGGGAGUGUGUGGAUGCUGAAUUGUCAAAAGCAAAAUGUAAUCACAGUGGUAUUGAGAGACAACCACUUGAAACCUGGCACGUGUCAGAUUGUGAAUCUUGUCAGUGUAUUCGAGGAGUUUCAGUUUGCAACAAGAUGACAUGCCCAAAAAGGAGUGCACUUGGAUCGGCAUACCAACUGGAGAAUGUUGUCCAGUAUGUCUUGGCUGUCAGACUGAUAAUCAAACCAAACUUGAAAGAGGUGCAACUUGGCAAAAAGACGACUGCACAUCCUGUACAUGCUCCGAACUUGGUGCUCAUAUGUGCGAGAAAUAUAUGUGUAAAACAGAUUGCGAGAAUCCAAGAAAAGUUGAAGGGCAGUGUUGUCCAGUUUGUGAUGAACCUACCAUCAUCAGACCUCCUGCAACAUGUCCAUCACUCGAACUGUGUUCUCUGAGAUGUGCCAAUGGACUUCGUCGUGAUAACAUUGGUUGCUAUGUGUGUGAAUGUCUUCCAGAUGAAGUUCCUACUAACCCAAGAUGUCGUGAGCUUAAUGACGAAAACUGUGAAAAACAAUGCGCUCACGGAUACCUCAAGGAUGAGGAUGGUUGCACAGUAUGCAAGUGCUCAAAAUGUCCACCACUCCAUCAGUGCCACAAGCAUUGUCUCUAUGGAUUCGAGACGAAUUCGGCGGGAUGUUCGUUGUGCAAGUGUCGAGCUUCAUCGAAAUUGGAUAAGAAGCAAGGCACAACUAAAUCAACGAAACUUGGAGCCGGCUCUGCGCAGCAAACUGAGUAUCACAGUGAAAAAUGCAUAUCGUUCUCAAAUGACGGUCAUCAAAUCGUGAGAGAUGGUGGAGAAUGGUGGAGUGAUGGAUGUAGACAUUGCUUCUGUGAAAACAAACAAGAAUUCUGUUCAUUGAUUUCAUGUCCAACAAAACCAUCAGAUUGUGCUGAUGAAAAAUGGGUGCAAAAAGAAGAUGAAUGUUGUCCAUCUUGCAUUGAUCAGAAGAAGAAACCAAAAUCGAGCAAUUCAUUGGCAGCUCAAAAACAUGAGCAUACAGUAUGCCAGUCACCUGGAACUGGAAGACUCUUCACAGAUGGUGAAACGUGGCAAUUGGCACCAUGUGUCUCAUGUACUUGUCGUGUUGGACACGUACUCUGUAGAACGACAGAAUGUCCUCCGAUCGCCUGUCCUAACCCCGAAUAUCAAAACGAAGAAGACUGCUGUCCAACUUGUCCAGAGCAAAAAGUUGAGAAUACGAAAAAUGAGAAAGGUGAUACUAUUGUGUGUACGGAUGAUGCUGGAACAGCUCAUAUUGUUGGUUCCUCAUGGCGUCAAGAUGACUGUACAUCGUGUGUUUGCUCUGCUGAAGGCUCUGCUGAUUGCUACAAAGAAGCUUGCGAUGAGAGUCUUGAAUGUCGUGGAAAUCCGCUUGUCAUCAAAGGAAAGUGUUGUCCAGUGUGCUCAGAUGCUCUUUCAUCAUCAGCUGUUUGCUCUUAUCAAUCAUCUGUUUAUGCAAUUGGAGAGCAGUGGCAAGAUGGUAGAUGCUCAAAUUGUUCUUGUGUAACCGGUGGUCAAACUGUCUGUCGUCAGAUGGUUUGUCCACAUUGUGAUGAUCCUGUACCAAUUGAAGGACAUUGUUGUCCGCUUUGCAAAGAUGCAAAAUGGUCUCCAUAUGGUUAUGGAAAUGGUUCAGCAUCAUUCCCAACUUCUCUUGGACCAAGAGUGGAUGAUGGAAAUGGAAGCUCUGCUACUUCGCUGAUUGUUGUAUCUCUGAUGUCUCUUUGCGUCGUUGCUCUCAUUAUUGUGCUUAUGCUUCUCUAUAAACGAAAUAAGAAAAGCAACAAGCUGCACAAGUUCAACGAAGUCGGCCAAAUAGCAUCGGGGGGAGCAUCAACAGUAAGACUUUCAGCGUCAAAAACAAUUGGAUCCAUGCCAAGACUCGUGGAUUGGAAGGACACGAGAGAAGAAAGUACGGAGGAAUUGUUGAAGACAUCAACUAAUCAUGUUCGACACGACUCGCAGAAUUCAGAUGAUCAAUCAGACAGUUUGCUUUCUACAAUGAGUGAUACUUCGACAGCACCUUCUACAAUUUCUUCUUCUGGACACGUGCCGAUUUCAGACACACAACCACUGACACCGAAGCAUCGAUAUCCAGUAUAAUUAAACCAUCCUUUGUUUUUCUUACUUCCUCAUUCUCAUUGCGGGUUCAAAAUUCGCAUACAAUUUUUACUCGUACAGUUUCUGUCACAUGUUCGAGUUUUUCAUUUCAAUCAUCUAAUUAUGAAUCCACCUUCUCAUCCACAAUCAAUUUAACUCACGAUGCGGGUCAUCCUUGUCCCUGAUUUUAAUGAAAAAGCUUUUCGUCUCGUCAGUUCAUGUAAUGUGUUUUGUACAGUUAUGUUGCACACAUUUGGAUUAAUAAACUAUAAAUAAUUGCUUUA
rnacentral:misc_RNA from 1 species